CUGGGCUGCAGGCGCCGCUGCUACACACGCACAGCGCACAGCGGCGGCGCUCCGUGGCAGCUCCUACUACGGCUAGGCUGGGCUGGGCUGCGCUGGGCUGGGCUGGGCUGGGCUGGGCUGGGCGGCGCGGCGCUGCGCGGGGCUGGGCGGGCUGCGCUGGGCGGGCUGCGCCGGGGCUCGCCUGCACACUUCGGCUCCCACACAGGACACCAGCCACUCUCCGACCCGCCGCGGGCGCCAAGCCCAGAUCUGCCAGUGAGCCUCAGGCUUUGGGAACUGAAGAGUGUAUCUGAAAAACCCACCCAGCAUUCCAAUGGCCAGCAACAACACCGCCAGCAUAGCACAAGCCAGGAAGCUGGUAGAACAGCUGAAGAUGGAAGCCAACAUCGAUAGGAUAAAGAGUGGCCCAACUAAGAUACCAAGUAUUUGUGAAGCACCCUCGUGGCUGGCGUGUUCUGUUCCUCCUCAGCACCCUCAGACCUGUCUCCUGAAGGAGCAUGUGACGGUGUUGGAGGUGAUGAGAAGCUGGCAGUGGAAGAAGAGGAUGGAAAUAGGGCUCUUCAGCCAUAAGUCAGACCUCCAUCCUCCCUCACCUGAAUAACUGAGUGCAGGGGGGCUCCUAGUUGAUCCCUGAAAUCCAUCUCAGCCCUGUCUCCAGCCCUGCCAUCAAUUACCCUCCAUAGUGCUACCAAGGAAAAUUUUCUGUAAGAAAAUCUCAUUAGGUCCCUCUCCCACAGAAAAUCUGUUCAUGCUUCCCAUCACCUGUAAAAUAACAUUCAAACUCCUUGGCAGAGUAUGCAAGGUCCUUCUGGCCUCUGCCCCUCUUUUUAGCUUCCUCCCCUUCUUUUUGCCCGCCUGCCAUACUGAGCCACUUCUGACGCCCUUGAUGAAAAUUUCAGAUGCCUGGAACAUUCACUCUCCUCCUUUCUAUCCUUCUGCUUUAAACUCUGGUAACUCCGUGAGGACUCAGACCAGUCAUUACAUCCUUCUCCAAGGCCCCCAUCAUAGGGCUGGAUUUUUACCAAUUUUCCGUUGUUCAUUUAUUCUUUUAUCUAAUAAGUACUUUAUUGACAGCUUUUUAAAGGGCCAGACCUUGUUAUGUCCUAGAGAUACAGAGAUGGAGAAAGAUGAAGACAUGGCUCUUGCCCUCAAGGAUCUCCUAGUCUAGGAGGGGGUUACAGAAAAUGUGAAUAAGACCUAUCACUGACCUAAAUAAGAUAUCCAAGGAGCAUAAUCACCAGAUGUCAUCAGAAAGAAUGCAGCACCACACCCCGACUCCCUACAUAUACUACUUCUGAAGGCACCAAAGACAUUGCCACUGUAAGAGAGAGAAAGCGUUCAUCUAACAAACUGAGUGCUGGGUGGUGAUCUUCCUAGGCAAUCUUCACAUCCAAAUCUUUUGGCCCUUGCUACGUACCUCGUUAGGUCUCACGUUGUUGGAAAUACAGCAGCAGCUUGUCAUUCAGCCUUUGUCCUGCACAUCAGAGCCAGGCAGGCAUGCUGUGGCGAAGUGUCAGAUUAUUUUGAGUUCAAGCUGUUGGCUUGAACUGCAACUGUGUUGACAGAGUUGUCAGCUAGCUGGUUUAGGGCUUGGUUAUUUGCCUUUAGGAGUCCCUUCAAAGACUUCUGAGCACUCUGGCUUCUCUACCUACUUUCCCUGCGUAAUCCCGUCAGCAAGAAAGGGCUUCUCUCUGAAGAUCCCAUGUAGGUGCUUCUGCAGUCGGAGUAGUGACCUCUUCAAGCUCUGUAGGGCAGCAGUGGGUGUUAUGUACAUCCGGUAGAGCCCACUGUGACUGAGGCCAUGAGAAACGGGGGGCAGGGAGCACCGCUGCCACUGGAGCUCCGAGAGCCCCAUCAGCAGGGGUGGCCUUAUCCCUCCUGUGGCCUCCAGAAUAACUCGGGCUGCAGAGAGAAGCUGUACCGUAAGAGGAUCUGAAUAGCAUAUUCAUUUUUAAACCUUCUUGUGUCCUAUCCUUCUGCAUCACAAAUCCUGGGAGAAUUGAGCUAAUGAACCCAUUAUCUGUUCAUAAGCCUCAGGCAUAUAUAAAUUAUACUCCCAGCCUUUCUCUGUUUCUUUGUUAGCAUUUCAUUCAAGGACAGAAAGUAAAGAGAAAUCAAAGGAAGCUGGGAAGGGAUCUGGAGACAGGGACAUAGAGGGACGUGGAGACCGUGACACUCAGAUGUAUGAGACAGCAAUAUAGUCACACUGAUGGUGAGCAAAGAUGAAUAAAAGGAAGCUCGUCCUUAGAGCACAAGUUGAGAGAGCAUGUCCAAAAGUAAAGGACAGCAGGUUUCAGUAAAUCUAUUUAUUCACCACUCUAUUAGGGCUCGUUGGGUUUCUAAUAAUAGAAGCCUAGCCCAAGUUUGCUUAAGCAGGAAGAAGGGAUUGAUUAUAAAAGAUACAGUGUGUCUCAGAUUCCAAGAGCAGAAAUGUAGCUGGGUAAGCAGUAGAAAUAAGAGCUGGAAGACCAUCAGAAACCAGGAGAGCUCUGUUCUCUGCCCCUGCCUCACUCUGUGUGUCUGCCUCUUUCUUUUCCCGGGCAAGAAUAGAUUUCUCAGCUGCCUGCUCCAUGCGGCGGACAUGAUGGCCACUCAGAGCUCCAUUUCACUUCCAGCUCCACGAAGAAAGAGAUAGAGUCAAUUCCUUUUAGUCUCAAGUGCAUAUUGCUAGAAUGGCAUCUCUGUUCUAAUAAGAGUGAACCAUCUGCAGUUCAUGCAGUUCAAUCAACGGACAUUAGAAUCAAACCACAUUGCACAAACAUUGCUCCUAGGAAUUAACCCACCCCUAUGAAAUGGAAAGGUUUGGAUAGUUAAGGAGUGAGAAUCAUUGUAAGCUGGAAAGAUGCCCUUUGACGGAGGGCAUCGUUAGCAUCAUGAAGAAUAAUGUAGAUGUAAGAACAAAAGAAAGCCAAGGCCAGGAGCGUGGGUAAAAUAAUUGCUUCUUAACUAAUUGAAUGCUCCAUAAAUUGACCCCCAUAAAAAUGUCAAAUUUAUUUCCCAUUUCUCCCAAAUAUUCCUAAUAGACAUUUCCGGCUUGCUCCCCUUAUUAUCCCAAGAAUAUGCUAUGUAAAUUCCACCUCUCUGGUUACUCUGGGUCCCUCAGUGAGAAUGCCCAUCCCCUCAUUCUUUUCCUAUCUACUACAGACUGAAUGUUUUUCUCCCCCAACCCUCCCAAAAAAUUCAUUUGUUGAAAUCCUAACCCCCAAUAUAGUGGUAUUUGGAGGUGGGGCCUUUGGAAGAUGAUUAGAUCAGGAGGGUGAGCCCUCAUGAAUAGGAUUAGUGCCCCUAUAAAAGAGACCCCAGGGAGAUCCCUCAUCCCUGCCACCAUGCAAGGUAAUAGUGAGAAGACAUCUGUGAACCAGGAAGUGACCCCCACCAGACACUGAAUCUGCCAGCACCUUGAUCUUAGACUUUCCAGUCUCUGUAACUGUUGGAAAUAAAUUUCUGUUGUUUAUUAUCUACCCAGUCUGCACUAUUUUGUUACAGAAGCCUGAACCAACUAAGACCCUGUCCAAACCUUACUCCCUCAUUUGGGGUCAACUCUAGUCCCCACUUGUCCAUGAAUCUCUUGCCAUUCUGACCAUAUUUACUAAUUGGUUUCAUUUUCAUCAAAUAAAUUUUUCCAAUUAGAGUACACAGUCCUCAAAGUCAAAGACCAUGUCAUUUACUUCUCUGUAUCCUUCAGGGUGCUGGGGUACAGGCAUUCAAGAAAUUUUUUUUUUAGUGGAUAGCUUCAAGUUCAUGUACUUAGAAUGUCAUAUAACAGGACAUCAGGAGCUAUAUUUCACAUGACAUUUCCAAUGACAUUUAUGGUUUAGGAAAUUGCAAGCAUGACUAUAACUGGCCAAAUAAAACUGUGGUCAUAGGGGCACCAGGGUGGCUCAGUUAAGUGUCCAGCUCUUGAU